rnacentral:pre_miRNA from 1 species
GGGGAAGCCCCAGAUCCUGGGCUGUGUCCCUUGGCGCCCUGGGCUCCAGGGCCUGCACUGCUGCUGAAUCGCGCUCCCGGGGCUGCUCAGCUCCCU